GAUGAACGCUGGCGGCGUGCCUAAUACAUGCAAGUCGAGCGAACAGAUAAGGAGCUUGCUCCUUUGACGUUAGCGGCGGACGGGUGAGUAACACGUGGGUAACCUACCUAUAAGACUGGAAUAACUCCGGGAAACCGGGGCUAAUGCCGGAUAACAUUUAGAACCGCAUGGUUCUAAGGUGAAAGAUGGUUUUGCUAUCACUUAUAGAUGGACCCGCGCCGUAUUAGCUAGUUGGUAAGGUAACGGCUUACCAAGGCAACGAUACGUAGCCGACCUGAGAGGGUGAUCGGCCACACUGGAACUGAGACACGGUCCAGACUCCUACGGGAGGCAGCAGUAGGGAAUCUUCCGCAAUGGGCGAAAGCCUGACGGAGCAACGCUGCGUGAGUGAUGAAGGUCUUCGGAUCGUAAAACUCUGUUAUUAGGGAAGAACAAAUGUGUAAGUAACUGUGCACGUCUUGACGGUACCUAAUCAGAAAGCCACGGCUAACUACGUG
rnacentral:rRNA from 1 species